rnacentral:rRNA from 1 species
CUGCAUGGCUGUCGUCAGCUCGUGCCGUGAGGUGUUGGGUUAGUCCGCAACGAGCGCAACCCCUACUGCCAGUUACCAACACGUUAUGGUGGGGACGUCUGGCGGAACUGCCGGUGACAAACCGGAGGAAGGUGAGGAUGACGUCAAGUCCUCAUGGCCCUUAUGUCCAGGGCUACACACGUGCUACAAUGGUCGGUACAGAGUGACGCGAAGCCGCGAGGUGGAGCAAAUCGCAGAAAGCCGGCCUUAGUUCGGAUUGGAGUCUGAAACUCGACUCCAUGAAGGUGGAAUCGCUAGUAAUCGCGCAUCAGCAUGGCGCGGUGAAUACGUUCCCGGGUCUU